AUUGAACGCUGGCGGCAGGCCUAACACAUGCAAGUCGAGCGGAUGAAGGGAGCUUGCUCCUGGAUUCAGCGGCGGACGGGUGAGUAAUGCCUAGGAAUCUGCCUGGUAGUGGGGGAUAACGUCCGGAAACGGGCGCUAAUACCGCAUACGUCCUGAGGGUGAACGUGGGGGUUCUUCGGACCUCACGCUAUCCGCUGUGCCUAGGUCGGAUUAGCUAGUUGGUUGGGUAAAGGCCUACCAAGGCGACGAUCCGUAACUGGUCUGAGAGGAUGAUCAGUCACACUGGAACUGAGACACGGUCCAGACUCCUACGGGAGGCAGCAGUGGGGAAUAUUGGACAAUGGGCGAAAGCCUGAUCCAGCCAUGCCGCGUGUGUGAAGAAGGUCUUCGGAUUGUAAAGCACUUUAAGUUGGGAGGAAGGGAAGUAAGUUAAUACCUUGCUGUAUUGACGUUACCAACAGAAAAAGCACCGGCUAACUUCGUG
rnacentral:rRNA from 1 species